rnacentral:rRNA from 1 species
CAGAGGGUGCAAGCGUUGCUCGGAAUCAUUGGGCGUAAAGGGCAGGUAGGUGGUCUGAUUUGUCUCAGGUGAAAUCCUAGGGCUUAACCCUAGAAGUGCCUGAGAAACGGUCAGACUAGAGUGCUGGAGAGGGUCGUAGAAUUCCCGGUGUAGCGGUGAAAUGCGUAGAGAUCGGGAGGAAUACCAGAGGCGAAGGCGACGACCUGGACAGUGACUGACACUCAACUGCGAAAGCGUGGGGAGCAAACAGGAUUAGAUACCCUGGUAGUCCACGCCGUAAACGAUGGGUACUAGGCUUGGUGGGUCUUGACCCCUGCCGAGCCGGAGCUAACGCAAUAAGUACCCCGCCUGGGAAGUACGGUCGCAAGACUA